UACGUAGGAUGCGAGCGUUGUCCGGAAUUACUGGGCGUAAAGAGCUCGUAGGUGGUUUGUCGCGUUGUCCGUGAAAACUCACAACUCAAUUGUGGGCGUGCGGGCGAUACGGGCAGACUGGAGUACUGCAGGGGAGACUGGAAUUCCUGGUGUAGCGGUGGAAUGCGCAGAUAUCAGGAGGAACACCGGUGGCGAAGGCGGGUCUCUGGGCAGUAACUGGCGCUGAGGAGCGAAAGCGUGGGGAGCGAACAGG
rnacentral:rRNA from 1 species